rnacentral:piRNA from 1 species
UAAGCUGGAUGUUUUUGGAUUGCUGGG